UUAUUGAAUAAACUUGGUCAAGUUGUUGCUGGUCCCUCGGGACAUGUGCACGCCUGCCACCAAUUUUAACCACCUGUGCACCUUUUGUAGGCUGGAAACAAUUCUCGAGAUACCUCGGUUUGAGGACUGCUGUGCGAAAGCCGGCUUUCCUUGUGUUUCUCAGUCUAUGUUUUAUUAUACCCCGCAUGUAUGUAUCAGAAUGUAUUGCUGGGCCUCAGUGCCUAUAAAUCAAAUACAACUUUCAACAACGGAUCUCUUGGCUCUCGCAUCGAUGAAGAACGCAGCGAAAUGCGAUAAGUAAUGUGAAUUGCAGAAUUCAGUGAAUCAUCGAAUCUUUGAACGCACCUUGCGCUCCUUGGUAUUCCGAGGAGCAUGCCUGUUUGAGUGUCAUUAAAUUCUCAACCCUACAAGUUUUUUUCGAACCUGUAUGGCUUGGAUCAUGGGAACUGCGGGCUUGGAUAAAGUCGGCUUUCCUUAAAUGUAUUAGCAGAACUUUUGUUGCUAACCUCUGGUGUGAUAAUUAUCUACGCUAUUGAGAGGCGACAUGUUAAAGUACUGCUUCUAAUCGUCUGUCACGGACAACAUUUGACAAUCUGACCUCAAAUCAGGUAGGACUACCCGCUGAACUUAAGCAU
rnacentral:rRNA from 1 species